AGGUCUCUCCAAAAAGCUUCCCUUAGUGAAGCUUUCUCCUAUGAAGCUAGAACCUUCUGAUACAGAUAUCUCUGAAAGAGACCUUGCUGGAAAGGAAUGGUCUAAUGUAGAUCAGUUAUAUUGUUCCAUACACCAUACUGGGACAGUUUCAGAGAUCAUCUUUUCUGUGUGAGAAAAUGCAAUAGUAAAGAAGAAGCAUGGACCUUGGUCAGAGAAGUAGCUUUGUACCAUGAAGUAGUGACCUUUUAUCUGAUUCAAGAUAACUGGAUUAUUUGUUUUAAGUGAUCCUUAUUAAUAGAGCUUGAGUAUUUAUUCAUAUAGCUAAACCCAAACCUCAUGAUACAAGAGAUCAUUUUGUUACAGACCUGUGUAAAAACAAUCUAUUGUUGUAUAUACAGUACUGUUCAAGAUUCUUAAUGCCAGAGUAUCAGAUUCUCUAAGGACUCUUAUCUUCAAAAGCUGCUGCACUAUCCUUUUCCAUUCCUGAACAGAGGGCUUGACCAGGGCUGGCCUUCUAGUCACUGAUAUGCACUGGAACAGCCUUGACUGACAUGUUGUGUUAGUAAAGACUUUAAUCAAGAGUGUUUAAAACUGGCUGGAGGCUGCUCAGCAAAACUAGCUGAUCUGGAUGAGCAUAACUAAGCUCACAAUUAAAGAAUAGUUUUAAAUAAUGCUGUUGUUACAUUAUGAAUGAUUUUUCUGUACAAAAUAAUAUGCUUCUGUGAAUCUAUUAACGUAUGCAAUUACACUGGCUAGUUUGCCUAGCCACAUGUUUUAUUUUAAAUUAAUCAAACCAUUGGUCAAAAUUACAGGGAUAAGUGAGUUUGGCUCAAAUCAAUGUCAUGGCACACAGUUAAUAAACUUAAUAUUCUGUGUGACUUUUAAUGUAAAAUUGUUUUAAUUUUGUUCACUUCCUCUUGCCAGAGAGACUUGCGGGACAAUUUUUCAGAUAAUUUAGAUGUGUAGUUACUGUGAUUAUACAGACAAUUGUGUGAUAAGUUAUUGUAAGCUGGCAUUUCAUGUUUACUCACCCAGCUGGCAUACAUAAAGAAAGUAAUUACAGUCACACAUUAGUCCCAUAAUCACAUACUUAAAGUGUUCUAAAAUCUGGUUCUGACUGUCCAAGUGUAAUGGCUUGCUUCUAAGAAAAAAUAAAUAAAUGUGAUUCAGGUUGUGUUG
rnacentral:lncRNA from 7 species